AAGUAAUUGACCCAGCUGGGGUGCCAUUAC
rnacentral:piRNA from 1 species